GACGAACGCUGGCGGCGUGCUUAACACAUGCAAGUCGAACGGAAAGGCCCUGCUUUUGUGGGGUGCUCGAGUGGCGAACGGGUGAGUAACACGUGAGUAACCUGCCCUUGACUUUGGGAUAACUUCAGGAAACUGGGGCUAAUAUCGGAUAGAAGCUCCUGCUGCAUGGUGGGGGUUGGAAAGUUUCGGCGGUUGGGGAUGGACUCGCGGCUUAUCAGCUUGUUGGUGGGGUAGUGGCUUACCAAGGCUUUGACGGGUAGCCGGCCUGAGAGGGUGACCGGCCACAUUGGGACUGAGAUACGGCCCAGACUCCUACGGGAGGCAGCAGUGGGGAAUAUUGCACAAUGGGCGGAAGCCUGAUGCAGCAACGCCGCGUGCGGGAUGACGGCCUUCGGGUUGUAAACCGCUUUCGCCUGUGACGAAGCGUGAGUGACGGUAAUGGGUAAAGAAGCACCGGCUAACUACGUG
rnacentral:rRNA from 1 species